GUACCAACAGCAGAGCAAUCAACGGUGUUCACUUUGAACCCAAAAUUCAAAAUCUAUUAACUAUUUAUAUGUCAAAUAAAUGACUGAAAAUGUUUACUCUACAGACUGAUAGAAGUUGAGGAGGUAAUCAUCGCUCUCCUCCCUCCUCAGAGGAGCACACAGACUGAUAGAAGUUGAGGAGGUAAUCAUCGCUCUCCUCCCUCCUCAGAGGAGCACACAGACUGAUAGAAGUUGAGGAGGUAAUCAUCUCUCUCCUCCCUCCUCAGAGGAGCACACAGACUGAUAGAAGUUGAGGAGGUAAUCAUCGCUCUCCUCCCUCCUCAGAGGAGCACACAGACUGAUAGAAGUUGAGGAGGUAAUCAUCUCUCUCCUCCCUCCUCAGAGGAGCACACAGACUGAUAGAAGUUGAGGAGGUAAUCAUCUCUCUCCUCCCUCCUCAGAGGAGCACACAGACUGAUAGAAGUUGAGGAGGUAAUCAUCUCUCUCCUCCCUCCUCAGAGGAGCACACAGACUGAUAGAAGUUGAGGAGGUAAUCAUCGCUCUCCUCCCUCCUCAGAGGAGCACACAGACUGAUAGAAGUUGAGGAGGUAAUCAUCGCUCUCCUCCCUCCUCAGAGGAGCACACAGACUGAUAGAAGUUGAGGAGGUAAUCAUCUCUCUCCUCCCUCCUCAGAGGAGCACACAGACUGAUAGAAGUUGAGGAGGUAAUCAUCGCUCUCCUCCCUCCUCAGAGGAGCACACAGACUGAUAGAAGUUGAGGAGGUAAUAAUCUCUCUCCUCCCUCCUCAGAGGAGCACACAGACUGAUAGAAGUUGAGGAGGUAAUCAUCGCUCUCCUCCCUCCUCAGAGGAGCACACAGACUGAUAGAAGUUGAGGAGGUAAUCAUCGCUCUCCUCCCUCCUCAGAGGAGCACACAGACUGAUAGAAGUUGAGGAGGUAAUCAUCGCUCUCCUCCCUCCUCAGAGGAGCACACAGACUGAUAGAAGUUGAGGAGGUAAUCAUCUCUCUCCUCCCUCCUCAGAGGAGCACACAGACUGAUAGAAGUUGAGGAGGUAAUCAUCUCUCUCCUCCCUCCUCAGAGGAGCACACAGACUGAUAGAAGUUGAGGAGGUAAUCAUCUCUCUCCUCCCUCCUCAGAGGAGCACACAGACUGAUAGAAGUUGAGGAGGUAAUCAUCGCUCUCCUCCCUCCUCAGAGGAGCACACAGACUGAUAGAAGUUGAGGAGGUAAUCAUCGCUCUCCUCCCUCCUCAGGAGCACACAGACUGAUAGAAGUUGAGGAGGUAAUCAUCGCUCUCCUCCCUCCUCAGAGGAGCACACAGACUGAUAGAAGUUGAGGAGGUAAUAAUCUCUCUCCUCCCUCCUCAGAGGAGCACACAGACUGAUAGAAGUUGAGGAGGUAAUCAUCGCUCUCCUCCCUCCUCAGAGGAGCACACAGACUGAUAGAAGUUGAGGAGGUAAUCAUCUCUCUCCUCCCUCCUCAGAGGAGCACACAGACUGAUAGAAGUUGAGGAGGUAAUCAUCGCUCUCCUCCCUCCUCAGAGGAGCACACAGACUGAUAGAAGUUGAGGAGGUAAUCAUCUCUCUCCUCCCUCCUCAGAGGAGCACACAGACUGAUAGAAGUUGAGGAGGUAAUCAUCUCUCCUCCCUCCUCAGAGGAGCACACAGACUGGAGAAGAAGGAAAACUGACCUAAUGACAUAAACUUUAACAUCUGAUAGCUAUACUAACAAGGACUGCUAUUGGUGCAGCAGACGAUAAUACAACUUUCACUUACAUAAUCAAUUUAAUAAUAAUACUAAUACUACUAAUAAUAAUGAUAAUACAUAAUAACUUUCACAUAAUCAAUUUUAUAUUGAACAACUUUGCUUUUUGUUGUUGAAAUAAUUGUCAUCUUUGUAAUAUUUU